rnacentral:rRNA from 1 species
CAGCAGCCGCGGUAAUACGGAGGGGGCUAGCGUUGUUCGGAAUUACUGGGCGUAAAGCGCACGUAGGCGGCUUUGCAAGUCAGAGGUGAAAGCCUGGUGCUCAACACCAGAAUUGCCUUUGAGACUGUAUCGCUUGAACGUCGGAGAGGUGAGUGGAAUUCCGAGUGUAGAGGUGAAAUUCGUAGAUAUUCGGAAGAACACCAGUGGCGAAGGCGGCUCACUGGACGACUGUUGACGCUGAGGUGCGAAAGCGUGGGGAGCAAACAGGAUUAGAUACCCCAGUAGUCCCUGUCUCUUAUAC